rnacentral:rRNA from 1 species
CGACCGGGACCAUCCGGUAAGGCUAAAUACUCCUAUAUGACCGAUAGUGAACCAGUACCAUGAGGGAAAGAUGAAAAGAACCGCGGGAGCGGAGUGAAAUAGAUCCUGAAACCGUAUGCUUACAAAAAGUCAGAGCACAUUAAGGUGUGAUGGCGUGCCUUUUGUAGAAUGAACCGGCGAGUUAUCUUUACAUGCGAGGUUAAGCAGACAAUGCGGAGCCGUAGCGAAAGCGAAUCUUAAUAGGGUGACAAGUAUGUAGAGAUAGACCCGAAGCCGUAGUGAUCUAGUCAUGAGCAGGUUGAAGGCUGGGUGAAUCCAGCUGGAGGACCGAACCGACCCCCGUUGAAAAGUUGGCGGAUGACUUGUGAUUAGCGGAGAAAUUCCAAUCGAACACGGCGAUAGCUGGUUCUCCCCGAAAUAGCUUUAGGGCUAGCGUUGAACGAAUCUACCCGGAGGUAGAGCACUGAAAUCAUGCGGGCGGCAUCUCGCCGUACCAAAUGAUAUCAAACUCCGAAUGCCGGGCAAGAAUAUUCAGCAGUCAGACUGUGGGUGAUAAGGUCCAUGGUCAAAAGGGAAACAGCCCAGAUCAUCAGAUAAGGUCCCAAAAUUUACGCUAAGUGGAAAAGGAUGUGGAGACGCGCAAACAGCUAGGAGGUUGGCUCAGAAGCAGCCAUCCUUCAAAGAGUGCGUAACAGCUCACUAGUCGAGUAUCUCUGCGCCGAAAAUUAACCGGGGCUAAGCGUAAUACCGAAUCUAUGGAUUUAUACUUAGGUAUAAGUGGUAGGGGAGCGUUCCAUACAGCAUUGAAGGUAUACCGUAAGGAGUGCUGGAGCGUAUGGAAGUGAGAAUGCCGGUGUGAGUAGCGAGAUGUGGGUGAGAAUCCCACACACCGAAAAACCAAGGUUUCCAGGGGAAGGUUCGUCCGCCCUGGGUAAGUCGGGACCUAAGGCCAGGCCGAAAGGCGUAGUCGAUGGACAGCAGGUUGAUAUUCCUGCACCCGCGAGUAAAGUGAUGGAGUGACAGAUAGGGUUAACCCAAGUCCUGAAUGGAUUGGGCAAGGCAAGCAGGAGAGUGGCGUAGGCAAAUCCGCGCCGGAUACUCAAAGGCUUGACUCAAGCGAACGCGCGAGCAAGUAGUGAAGAGGGUGAUACCAGGUCUCAAGAAAAGCUUCUAGCGAUAAUUUACUAGCGGCCCGUACCAAAACCGACACAGGUGGUUGAGGCGAGUAGCCUAAGGUGAGCGAGAGAACUGUUGCCAAGGAACUCGGCAAAUUGACCCCGUACGUUAGCAAUAAGGGGUGCUCGAAAGAGCCGCAGUGAAUAGGCCCUAGCAACUGUUUAACUAAAACAUAGCUCUCUGCGAAGUCGCAAGACGAAGUAUAGGGGGUGACACCUGCCCGGUGCUGGAAGGUCAAGGGGAUUUGUCAGACGCAAGUCGAAGCAUUGAACCGAAGCCCCAGUGAACGGCGGCCGUAACUAUAACGGUCCUAAGGUAGCGAAAUUCCUUGUCAGGUAAGUUCUGAC